rnacentral:snRNA from 1 species
GUGCUCGCUUCCGCAGCACAUAUACUAAAACUGGAACAAUACAGAGAAGAUUAGCAUGUUUAGAUAAAAAAAAAAAAAAAUCAGUCUUAGGUUGU